rnacentral:rRNA from 1 species
AUUGAACGCUGGCGGCACGCUUUACACAUGCAAGUCGAACGGUAACAGGCCGCAAGGUGCUGACGAGUGGCGAACGGGUGAGUAAUGCAUCGGAACGUGCCCAGUCGUGGGGGAUAACUACUCGAAAGAGUAGCUAAUACCGCAUACGAUCUAUGGAUGAAAGCGGGGGACCGUAAGGCCUCGCGCGAUUGGAGCGGCCGAUGUCAGAUUAGGUAGUUGGUGGGGUAAAGGCUCACCAAGCCAACGAUCUGUAGCUGGUCUGAGAGGACGACCAGCCACACUGGGACUGAGACACGGCCCAGACUCCUACGGGAGGCAGCAGUGGGGAAUUUUGGACAAUGGGCGCAAGCCUGAUCCAGCAAUGCCGCGUGCAGGAAGAAGGCCUUCGGGUUGUAAACUGCUUUUGUACGGAACGAAACGGCUCUGGUUAAUACCCGGGGCUAAUGACGGUACCGUAAGAAUAAGCACCGGCUAACUACGUG